rnacentral:rRNA from 1 species
UACGGGGGGGGGCAAGCGUUGUUCGGAAUUACUGGGCGUAAAGGGCUCGUAGGUGGCCAAUUAAGUCAGACGUGAAAUCCCCAGGCUCAACCUGGGAACUGCGUCCGAUACUGGUUGGCUUGAAUUCGGGAGAGGGAUGCAGAAUUCCAGGUGUAGCGGUGAAAUGCGUAGAUAUCUGGAGGAACACCGGUGGCGAAGGCGGCAUCCUGGACCAACACUGACGCUGAGUGAGCGAAAGCCAGGGGAGCAAACGGG